AUUGAACGCUGGCGGCAGGCCUAACACAUGCAAGUCGAUCGAGUGGCGGACGGGUGAGUAAUGUCUGGGAAACUGCCUGAUGGAGGGGGAUAACUACUGGAAACGGUGGCUAAUACCGCAUACUAUCAGAUGUGCCCAUAUGGGAUUAGCUAGUGGGUGGGGUAACGGCUCACCAAGGCGACGAUCCUUAGCUGGUCUGAGAGGAUGACCAGCCACACUGGAACUGAGACACGGUCCAGAAUCCUACGGGAGGCAGCAGUGGGGAAUAUUGCGCAAUGGGCGCAAGCCUGAUGCAGCCAUGCAGCGUGUAUGAAGAAGGCUUUAGGGUUGUAAAGUACUUUCAGCGGGGAGGCGUUACCCGCAGAAGAAGCACCGGCUAACUCCGUGCCAGCAGCCGCGGUAAUUC
rnacentral:rRNA from 1 species